AUACGGAGGGUGCAAGCGUUAAUCGGAAUUACUGGGCGUAAAGCGCACGCAGGCGGUUUGUUAAGUCAGAUGUGAAAUCCCCGGGCUCAACCUGGGAACUGCAUCUGAUACUGGCAAGCUUGAGUCUCGUAGAGGGGGGUAGAAUUCCAGGUGUAGCGGUGAAAUGCGUAGAGAUCUGGAGGAAUACCGGUGGCGAAGGCGGCCCCCUGGACGAAGACUGACGCUCAGGUGCGAAAGCGUGGGGAGCAAACAGGAUUAGAUACCCUGGUAGUCCACGCCGUAAACGAUGUCGACUUGGAGGUUGUGCCCUUGAGGCGUGGCUUCCGGAGCUAACGCGUUAAGUGCUCCGCCUGGGGAGUACGCACGCAAGUGUGAAACUCAAAGGAAUCGGCGGGG
rnacentral:rRNA from 1 species